AAGAGUUGCUUCUCCUUUAUUUAUUUAUUUUGCAUCUCUCAUUUAAGAGGGAGGGAAGGGUAUAUGAUUUUUUCCCCACUACUCCCGGAUAAAAAAAAAGAUUUUUCUUCUAGGGUUUCAUAUUCGUAUUUCUCCUCUAGUAUUCCAUAUUUAUAUUUUUACAGGGUUCCAUAUUCGUCCUUUUGAACUUUAAAGUUCAAUUGAAAUUGGAAUGGCAAAAUUGGAGAUCCCCUCUGUCGUGACUGGAUAUAUAAUUGUUUUCAAUUUUUUUAAAGCCACAUGAUCUCGAUGCAUUAAACAUAUGGUCACUUAGAAACAGAAGUUAUAUCACCAUGUAGCUAAUGUUCUGCAUUAUUUGUUUCCCAUGGGUGUCUGCCACAUUUCAUUUCCUCUUUUACGUUGAGUGAACUCUCGGCAAGUUUGCAGAUAGUCAAUUUCUAUGUUGUUAAUAUGAAACGUUUCUACCUGAUGCAGGGUUCGCCUUGCAAGUGGUUUGAGAAUAGCGCACCAACAGUUGGGUAACAUCCAAUUGGUUUCUCAGUAUUUAACAAUAUUAGGUACAUUAGCACUUCAGUUACAUGAUACUGGACAAGCCAGGGAGAUCUUGAAGUCAUCGUUGACGUUAGCUAAGACACUAUAUGACAUCCCAACACAAAUCUGGAUCUUGUCGGUAUUUACAGAGUUAUAUCGAGAGCUGGAAGAGAAGGAAAAUGAAAUGGAGAAUUCAGAAUAUGGAAGCAAGAAAGAAAUCGAUCUGCAGAGAAGACUGGCUGAAGCUCGUUCUCGCGCUUAUCACCAGGAGCUGGUGGAGAAAGUGAGGAUCGAAGCUGAGCCGCUGCACAACUUGUUCCAGAAGCAUAACGAUAUGUCGGGCCUGCCGGUAAAUGAUGACCUUGACAUCCCAGAAUCAGUGGGGCUGUCCACUCCCCAGCCCUCGUCCGUGAGAAGGCUGGUCGAUUCAAGCUCGGUAAGGCGCAGCACAAGGAGGCGGGUGUCCUGAGUCAUGCUGGCUGUCCAUCGGAGUGAAUCGCCAUGCUCCCCAUAGAGAGAGCAUGCUGGACAUGUUAGCCUAUAGGUCCCUCAGUUGUUGUUAUUAAGUUUAUUAUUAGUCAAUUGUACACCGCUGUAGCUUCAUCUUCUGUUAACAAUUACUAGCAAAAGAGAUCAUGCGUUGCACCAGGAGAGAAAUUCCACAGGCCCCUAACUCAAUAACCAUGACUCAAACCCCCAUAGGUAGGUUCAGGUUCUUUAUUUCAACACAUGGUUCUCAUCUGUGUUGACAAUCACAACGUGUUUGAAUGUGAUCAAUCUUAAAGCGUC